rnacentral:tRNA from 1 species
ACUCACAAAGCUUUGCCUUAAGCGUAAACCUUUUAAUUUUAUGAAGAGAUCACUUCUCUGUGGGUG